rnacentral:rRNA from 1 species
CCUACGGGGGGCAGCAGUCGAGAAUCAUUCACAAUGGGGGAAACCCUGAUGGUGCGACGCCGCGUGGGGGAAUGAAGGUCUUCGGAUUGUAAACCCCUGUCAUGUGGGAGCAAAUUAAAAAGAUAGUACCACAAGAGGAAGAGACGGCUAACUCUGUGCCAGCAGCCGCGGUAAUACAGAGGUCUCAAGCGUUGUUCGGAAUCACUGGGCGUAAGGCGUGCGUAGGCUGUUUCGUAAGUCGUGUGUGAAAGGCGCGGGCUCAACCCGCGGACGGCACAUGAUACUGGGAGACUAGAGUAAUGGAGGGGGAACCGGAAUUCUCGGUGUAGCAGUGAAAUGCGUAGAUAUCGAGAGGAACACUCGUGGCGAAGGCGGGUUCCUGGACAUUAACUGACGCUGAGGCACGAAGGCCAGGGGAGCGAAAGGGAUUAGAUACCCUUGUAGUC